UUUAUUAUUAUUAUUAUUAUUACUUACCUUGAUGACUUUGCCUUCAACGUUGGACACGGUCUUGGUGGGCGUCCGUUUGACAAAAGACAAGAAUAGUCUUUUGCACAAUUCUUCUUGCAUUUCCAUCUCCAGGUCAGAAAAUGAACAUCGUUUUUUAUUUACCCCAUCUGGCUGGAAUUUGGACAGAGGUCCAGUGCCGGAGAAUUCGACCAGGACAUCGCUCAAUUUCUUUGAUGAAUCUAUACGUCCAAAUGUAAAUAGGUGAUUUAUUAUUCGAAUUGAAAUAAUUUUUUGAAGGUUGUUUGGCUUUGGAGGGGGAAAAAAAACAAAAUGGAGAUACGCAAUUCGUUUUGGUUGAGGGUGGCGGGCUCUUGACAAGUUUUCUAACAAGUGAACGUACAAAAAAAUUGGAUUUCGUAAAAGGCCCGUGUCUCGACGCUUAUCUUUUUAAUCAUUGCCGUCGCGGAAUGCGAGACCUUGGGCGACAUUCGCUUUUCUUCUUUCCUGCAGCAGACAAGAGUUUAGACGACAACGUUUUUAUUUUGUUCUCGUCUCUCAUCAAAGUCAUCUGUAGACAAAAGGAUUUUCCAACUGCGUGAAAGACAUCAAUGCUCUCAAAAACCAGAAUUCCCGUUUGUUUUGUUUUUUUCACUUUCUCUUCGCCCGUCCAUGUCAGUUCAGUUUCUUCGUACCCAUUCUUGCAAAUGGAUCCAAUCCCACGAAAAGACCGUCAAAAAUUUGAACAAAACAACGCAAAGUUCAUUCAUCCCUUUUCAUCAACAAGAAUCGUCUAAAAUGGCUGCCAUCAAACGAAAAAUCCUCGCCAUUAAAACAUUUCCCUCCUGUUUUUUUUGUUUUGUUAUGUGAAUUCAAUACUAGAAUUGUGUUACACCAAUUUAGAGCAGAACAAUCGGAACUGGUCAAUCAUCAUCUCAUUACACGAGUAGAAUGGAGGCAGACAGUUCAAGGUUUCCGGCUGUCUCCAUCCAUACGAACGCGCAAUUUUUAGAAGACAAACGACAUUCAUCGACCCGGCAAAAUAUUGUUGACUCUCGUAACGGUUGACAGCUGGUUCGUUGUCCAUUCUUACGUGUCCCGCAGCCAUUGUUUACGAAAUUAUAUAUACCAAUGGCGAGGGUGGAAACAAAAUAUGGCCCAUCAUAAACCCAUCAUUGUCGGCUAUUAGAAUCUAUUGGAGGCAGAUGUAUAAUAAUCUUUUGAUAUUUCUCCGUUCGCUCAAAUCUAAAUUUCACAAGUUUAUUUAUUUUUUUUUUAAAGAAAUAAAUAGAAUGAGACAA